rnacentral:rRNA from 1 species
AGAGUUUGAUCAUGGCUCAGGACAAACGCUAACGGUGCGCCUAAUACAUGCAAGUCGAACGAGCGAUGUAGAAGUGGCAACACUUUUACAAAGCUAGUGGCGAACGGGUGAGUAACGCGUAGGUAAUCUGCCUUGGAGAUUGGGACAACCAUUCGAAAGAAUGGCUAAUACCAAAUACCUUAUAUUAAUCGCAUGAUUUUUAUAAUAAAGGGGGCUUUUAGCUCUCGCUUCAAGAUGAACCUGCGUCCUAUUAGCUUGUUGGUGAGGUAGAAGCUCACCAAGGCAACGAUGGGUAGCCGGCCUGAGAGGGUGAUCGGCCACACUGGGACUGAGAUACGGCCCAGACUCCUACGGGAGGCAGCAGUAGGGAAUCUUGCGCAAUGGGCGAAAGCCUGACGCAGCGACACCGUGUGAAGGAUGAAGGCCUUCGGGUCGUAAACUUCUGUCAAUUGGGGACGAAGGUAGUAGAGUUAAUACCUCGAAUACUGACGGUACCCAAUAAGGAAGUCUCGGCUAACUCCGUGCCAGCAGCCGCGGUAAGACGGAGGAGGCAAGCGUUGUCCGGAAUCAUUGGGCGUAAAGAGCGCGUAGGCUGUUUUUCAAGUCAUUUGUGAAAACCUCAGGCUUAACUUGAGGACUGCAUAUGAAACUGGAAAACUUGAGUGCAGUAGGGGAAAGUGGAAUUCCUGGUGUAGCGGUGAAAUGCGCAGAUAUCAGGAAGAACACCGGUAGCGAAGGCGGCUUUCUGGGCUGCUACUGACGCUGAGGCGCGAAAGCUAGGGGAGCAAACAGGAUUAGAUACCCUGGUAGUCCUAGCUGUAAACGAUGGACACUAGGUGUGGGGAGUUAUCGACGCUUUCCGUGCCGGAGCUAACGCAUUAAGUGUCCCGCCUGGGGAGUA